rnacentral:rRNA from 1 species
AGAGUUUGAUCCUGGCUCAGAUUGAACGCUGGCGGCAUGCUUUACACAUGCAAGUCGAACGGCAGCACGGGGUGGUCACACCCUGGUGGCGAGUGGCGAACGGGUGAGUAAUAUAUCGGAACGUAUCCGGAAGUGGGGGAUAGCUCGGCGAAAGCCGGAUUAAUACCGCAUAUGCCCUGAGGGGGAAAGUGGGGGAUCGCAAGACCUCACGCUUUCGGAGCGGCCGAUAUCGGAUUAGCUAGUUGGUGGGGUAAAGGCUUACCAAGGCGACGAUCCGUAGCUGGUCUGAGAGGACGACCAGCCACACUGGAACUGAGACACGGUCCAGACUCCUACGGGAGGCAGCAGUGGGGAAUUUUGGACAAUGGGGGAAACCCUGAUCCAGCCAUGCCGCGUGAGUGAAGAAGGCCUUCGGGUUGUAAAGCUCUUUCGAGAGGAAAGAAACGGUCACGGUGAAUAUCCGUGACUAAUGACGGUACCUCAAGAAGAAGCACCGGCUAAUUACGUGCCAGCAGCCGCGGUAAUACGUAGGGUGCGAGCGUUAAUCGGAAUUACUGGGCGUAAAGCGUGCGCAGGCGGUUUUGUAAGACAGAUGUGAAAUCCCCGGGCUUAACCUGGGAACUGCAUUUGUGACUGCAAGGCUAGAGUGCGGCAGAGGGGGGUAGAAUUCCACGUGUAGCAGUGAAAUGCGUAGAUAUGUGGAGGAAUACCGAUGGCGAAGGCAGCCCCCUGGGUCGACACUGACGCUCAUGCACGAAAGCGUGGGGAGCAAACAGGAUUAGAUACCCUGGUAGUCCACGCCCUAAACGAUGUCAACUAGGUGUUGGGGAAGGAGACUUCUUUAGUACCGCAGCUAACGCGCUAAGUUGACCGCCUGGGGAGUACGGUCGCAAGACUAAAACUCAAAGGAAUUGACG